rnacentral:lncRNA from 1 species
AAAAUGAAGCUGAGAGGACAAGCUAGAUGAGGAGAAGAGGAUACAUGGAUUUGGCCACAUGCAGAGCAGAGACUCAACUUGGACUGGAAUCUACACCAUUGGCUGUCCUGUUUCUGACGCCUUCGGGGUUGGACUGGAACUAUGACAUCUGUCACCUUGCUGGGCCUUUGGUUUGCACGUUGCAAAUCCUGAGAUUUCUCAGCCUCCAUAGUCAUAGUGGUGAAUGUUGUGGCCGGCCCCAGACCCCUGCAGGGAUGAAGAAUUGAGUUCCCCAUCUGCUGGGCCUGCUGCAGGAAGAUG